rnacentral:rRNA from 1 species
GGGCGAACCGGCGCACGGGUCGAGGUAACGCGUAUCCAACCGUUCCCCAUAGUAGGGCACAGCCCGGCGAAAGUCGGAUUAAUCCUAUGCAGUCCAGAGAGGACAUCUGACCUGGACGAAAGAUUCAUCGCUAUGGGAUGGGGAUGCGUCUGAUUAGGUUGCAGGCGGGGUAACGGCCACCUGGCCGACGAUCAGUAGGGGUUCUGAGAGGAAGGUCCCCCACAUUGGAACUGAGACACGGUUCAAACUCCUACGGGAGGCAGCAGUGAGGAAUAUUGGUCAAUGGACGGAAGUCUGAACCAGCCAAGUAGCGUGCAGGGAAAAGACGGCCCUAUGGGUUGUAAACUGCUUUUAUCAGGGGAUAAAGUGAGGUAUGUAUACCUUUUUGCAUGUACCUGAUGAAUAAGGACCGGCUAAUUCCGUGCCAGCAGCAGC